UGAGUAUAAUACCUUGAAUUCUUCUCAACAUGACUUUCCAAAUCAAGAGAAGUUAGAAGACCCUCAGUUGUACCAUUAUGCAUUAUUCUCUGAUAAGGUAUUAGCAGCAGCAGUUGUUGUAAACUCAACUAUAACAUAUGCUAAGGAAUCCUGGGAGGACCCUUCGAAGCAUGUUUUCCACAUUGUUACUGAUAGGCCAAAUUAUGCAGCAAUGAGGAUGUGGUUUUUGCUAAAUCCACCAGGCAAAGCUUCUAUCCAGGUUCAGAACAUUGAAGAAUUUACAUGGCUAAAUGCAAGUUAUAGUCCAGUUCUCAAGCAGUUGGGUUCACAGUCCAUGAUAGACUAUAACUUUAGAGCUCAUCAAGCCAAUUCUGAUUCAAAUUUGAAGUACGGAACCCAAAAUACUUAUCUAUCCUCAAUCAUCUUCAAUUUUAUUUGCUAGAGAUCUUCCCAAAGCUCAACAAAGUGUUGUUCUUGGAUGAUGAUAUCAUUGUAAAGAAGGAUCUCACUGCCCUUCGGUCCCUUGAUUCGAAGGGGAAUGUUAAUGGUGCUGUUAAGACUUGUGGAGAGAGCUUCCAUCAUUUUGAUCGAUUGCGCAUCAGCCUAGCAUAUAUGUCCUAGACACUCCAGGUGUAUUGGUUCCAAGUAUCCCUAACAUUGAGACAGGACUGAAGCUAGCUCUUGCAGGAAUCAUCCUCUUGCAAAUAAUUUCUCCUAACUUUUAGUUUAAGAUAUGCUAAACCAUGCUUGACUGUUGUAAAUGGACAAAAAUAAGUGCCACCUCUCUCCAAUCACUAUUAAGAGAAGCCAUAUCCCUACUCAACACCGGAGUUGAUUUGGUUGCAACAAAGUAACUGGAUCAGCUUAAGUAAUGUUGGUUGAGGCCUAAAAGUUUUACGCUUGAAGUUGUGUUGGUUUAAUCCUCUUGUUGACCUCCAACCAACACAAGUUGCCCAAACUACAGCUAGUAAAAUUUUCAACCUUGACGUCUUAAAUUUUAUCAUUAUUUU